AUUUUUUUCCAGCACUGAUUUCAUUGAAAGCGUAUUGUUAGAUAAUCCGUACGUCGUAUCUUCCUGACAUUUUUCUUCAUAAAAAUGCUGAUAAUGUGGCCUGAGCAGAGCCUGAGCAUCUGUACAUUUUGCCAAGAUGUCGUCUCUUUUUCCUGUACCGUCUGUACGUUUUGUGAGAAACACUUCAGAACAAAUCAGUCUGGUGAGGUCUGAGCUUCGUCGUGGCUGCCCAAAGUACACAUGGAUUUGAUUCAGCCAGCUGGUAAAGGGUCUUCUUCUUCUUCCUCUUGCUACCUGUACUGCUGUGUGUCAAGAAACAUGAACAACUGAAGUUUAUCGUGUAUGUUCGCGUAGUUGCUGUCCGCUGUGGUACGUUGUUGCGCGCAGCCUAUGCCUUAGAAAGAUCUUUCUGCAUCAAAUUCAAUUGGCCGUUCCUUG